AUACGGAGGAUGCAAGCGUUAUCCGGAUUUAUUGGGUUUAAAGGGUGCGUAGGCGGAGGAGUAAGUCAGGGGUGAAAUGCCGCAGCUCAACUGCGGAACUGCCUUUGAUACUGCUUUUCUGGAGUCUGGAUGCCGUGGGAGGAAUGGGCAGUGUAGCGGUGAAAUGCAUAGAUAUUGCCCAGAACACCGAUUGCGAAGGCAUCUCACGAAUCCGGGACUGACGCUGAGGCACGAAAGCGUGGGGAUCAAACAGGAUUAGAUACCCUGGUAGUCCACGCAGUAAACGAUGAUAACUAACCGUCGGCGAUAGACAGUCGGUGGCCAAGCGAAAGCGAUAAGUUAUCCACCUGGGGAGUACGUUCGCAAGAAUGAAACUCAAAGGAAUUGACGGGG
rnacentral:rRNA from 1 species